GAAAAAAAAAGAGCCCCACUACCUUCCCUUUCUCUCUUCACUUCAUCUCUCUGAGAAAAUCAAAAACAACUUCCAUCCACUCGUUUUCCUAAUCCUCCCUUCAUCGCCAAAAACGACACUCAAUCCCUCCCCGCUUCGCGCCGGCUUCUUCUAGGGUUUGCUUUCGUUGCCCUAUUCUUCUCUUCUCUUCUCGGCCCAGGCGGUUCGAUUGUUGUCGUUUUCUCGUCGGCGGAUUGUUAAUGGGGUGAAGAAUUUGGGUCCGAGUCGAAUGGAGUGGGACAGCAAUUCGGAUCUGAGUGGCGAUGACGAUGAGGAGGAAUUCAUGCUCAACGACGACGACGAUGAUGAUGUCCUGGGCCUAGGCCCAGGACCGGGCCCUGGCCCGCUCCCCUUCCCCAUCACGAAUCUCCUCCAUACGGCGCCGUGUGGGUUCGUCGUCACCGACGCGCUCGAGCCCGACCACCCAAUCAUCUAUGUCAAUACCGUGUUCGAGAUGGUUACCGGUUAUCGGGCCGAGGAAGUUCUUGGUCGAAAUUGCCGUUUCUUGCAAUGUAGAGGUCCAUUUGCUAAAAGAAGGCAUCAUUUGGUGGACUCAACGGUUGUUUCUGAAAUUAGAAGAUGUCUUGAGGAGGGUAUUGAAUUCCAAGGCGAGUUGUUAAACUUUAGAAAAGAUGGAUCUCCAAUGAUGAAUAGGUUGCAGCUUACACCCAUAUAUGGAGAUGAUGAAACAAUAACUCAUGUGAUUGGGAUCCAAUUCUUCACAGAGGCGAACAUUGAUUUGGGUCCAGUGCCAGGUUCAUUAAUCAAAACAUCUGCAAAAUCUUCUGAUCGGUUUUAUUCUGGUCUUUCCUCUUUCCGCCCUGUUCCUGUGGGAGACCGAAAUAUUCUCCGUGGGGUUUGUGGAAUAUUUCAGUUGAGUGAUGAGGUAUUGGCUCUUAAGAUACUUUCAAGAUUGACACCCAGAGAUAUUGCAUCUGUUGGGUCUGUCUGUAGACGGCUUUAUGAUUUGACAAGAAAUGAAGAUCUUUGGAGAAUGGUUUGCCAAAAUGCGUGGGGUAGUGAAACAACUCGUAUUCUAGAGACUGUGCCUGGCGCAAAGAGACUAGGCUGGGGCCGAUUGGCGCGGGAGUUGACCACUCUUGAAGCAGCAGCAUGGAGUAAGCUUACUGUUGGAGGUGCUGUUGAACCUUCACGUUGCAACUUUAGUGCUUGUGCAGUUGGAAAUCGGGUUGUCCUUUUUGGCGGUGAAGGAGUUAACAUGCAACCGAUGAAUGAUACUUUUGUGCUGGAUCUGAAUUCCAGUAACCCCGAGUGGCAGCAUGUCCAGGUGAGCUCCCCUCCUCCUGGUCGAUGGGGUCAUACACUUACGUGUGUGAAUGGGUCUAAUUUGGUGGUAUUUGGAGGUUGUGGAAGACAGGGACUGCUAAAUGAUGUCUUUGUGCUUGAUUUGGAUGCAAAACCUCCAACGUGGCGUGAAAUAUCUGGAUUGGCUCCUCCUCUUCCAAGAUCGUGGCAUAGUUCCUGUACUCUUGAUGGAACCAAGUUGAUUGUUUCUGGUGGUUGUGCAGAUUCCGGGGUAUUACUCAGUGAUACUUUUCUACUUGAUCUCUCAAUGGAGAAACCUGUGUGGAGAGAAAUACCUGUAGCAUGGACGCCCCCUUCUCGGUUGGGUCACACGUUGUCUGUAUAUGGUGGUAGGAAGAUUUUGAUGUUUGGAGGCCUUGCCAAGAGCGGGCCUCUUCGAUUUCGUUCAAGUGACGUGUUCACAAUGGAUCUAAGUGAGGAGGAACCCUGCUGGAGAUGUGUUACGGGAAGUGGAAUGCCCGGUGCGGGGAAUCCAGGGGGCAUCGCUCCUCCUCCUAGACUUGAUCAUGUAGCAGUGAGCCUUCCGGGUGGAAGAAUCCUGAUCUUUGGUGGGUCUGUUGCUGGUCUUCACUCAGCUUCGCAACUUUAUCUUCUUGACCCAACCGAUGAGAAGCCUACAUGGAGAAUAUUAAAUGUACCGGGGCGGCCCCCAAGAUUUGCUUGGGGACACAGCACUUGUGUUGUUGGGGGAACAAGGGCUAUAGUCCUUGGUGGUCAGACCGGAGAGGAAUGGAUGUUGAGUGAGCUUCAUGAGCUUUCACUGGCAAGCUCUGUCAUCUGAUUCGGGGAACAAACAAUAAGAAGCUGUAAUGGAAGUGGUCACAGCAUUCAACGGCAAGGUGUCAGAUCUUUUUGACGAAUCAGUUGGCAGAGAGUCUUGUCUCGGUCAUCAAUAACUCUUGGCAUGUGUUGCUCUAGUCAGAACUUGUUUUUGGUAAUACCAUAGUGCAUAUUUUUUGUAUGGAGAUUGUUCCGGCCAAAGACAAAAUUUUAAUUAGUUCCAAGAGUGACUUGAGACCGUCUUUGUUUUGUUGUGAGGUUUGUGUGAAAUUCUGCCCGUCCGUACGCACAUUGAAUUGUCCGUCCCUGUCAGGUAGUCCAAUGAUGUUUUCCUCUAUGUUGUCAGAUCUCUAUGUAUGAUGUCGCGGCAGAAGGUGAUUGGACAGGAAACUAGUGAUGCAUGAUUUUUUUUUCUCCUGAUACAACAUGGGAUCGAACCAGCAGUUUCUUCCCGACUCCUAUUCCACCUGAACGCCCUAGUGCCACUAGAGCAAGCGUGCCAUGCAGUGAGCACGCGCAUGAGCACUCUUGCGAUAAUGCAAUUGUUCGGUUUUUCUGAAUCUAUAUACAUAUUAAGGUCCUGUUUA